AUGGAACCAUGAUGUCUUUCUAAGUUUCAGAGGUGAAGACACUCGGAAGAACUUCACGGAUCAUCUCUACGCAGCUUUGGUGAGAGAUGGAGUGGUUACCUUCAGAGAUGACGAUGAACUUCCCAGGGGAAAAGACAUCUCCUCGGAGCUCCUCAAAGCAAUUGAAGAAUCAAAACUUUCUAUAGUGGUUUUCUCUAAAAACUAUGCUUCUUCCAGGUGGUGUCUUGAUGAGCUUGUCAAGAUUAUUGAGUGCAAAAACACAACUGGCCAGAUUGUUAUUCCAGUCUUCUACGAUGUUGAUCCAUCUGAUGUCCGAAAGCAGAUCGGAAGUUAUGAAGAAGCUUUUGCUAAACACGAAGAACGGUUUAAAGAUAAGAUGGAAAGGAUCAAAAAGUGGAGAGAAGCUCUUACAGAAGCUGGAAAUUUAUCGGGUUGGGACCUUCGAAAUGUGACAAAUGGGUAAUGUUUAAUUUUUAAGAUGAAUCAUCCAAAAAGUUCUACGAUAUAUAUAUAUAUAUAUAUUUAUGUACAUCUUCCUUAUAAAUAAAAAAAUUAAAUGAAACUAAUUUUAAUUGCUAGUUAUUGCUAUUAAAGUUAUUAUAUGCGCCUCAUUUUAAAUUAUGGUAGUCAAUUUAUAUCUUAGUAUAAAUUGUUUUUUUAAUGUUUGAUGAUUUAAACCUUAAAAUUAAGAGUGGAAAUUCUACCCAAACUAUAUAUACCUGAAAAAAUGUUUAAUUUAUGUUUAUUGUAAAGUUGUUUGUUUCAAGUGUAUCGUGAGAAUAUCUCAUACAUAAUUAUUGUAAUAUAAUUAAUCAAUUAUAAUUUAGUAUUGUGAAGUGUCCAUCGAAAAAUUAUUUAUACCUCAUUUAUAUUUUAAGUGAUGAAUUCUUAAAUAAUUUUUAUUAUAAUUGAUUAAUUAUAGUAUUGUAAUAAAGAAAAUUAUAAAAAUUAAAUAACCAAAAAAGGGUGUUUACUGAGAAUCAUUUUUUUUUUUGGUGUUCUUUCAUCGCAAAUGAUUUUACAGGUAUGAAUCGAGAUUUAUCCAAGAAAUUGUCAAAGAUGUGAUCGAAAAUUUAAACCGUAAUAUUCGCAAUAGCUUACAUGUCGCCACUCACCCAGUAGCUCUAGAAUCACCUGUCGAAAAGGUGAUAAGAUUAUUAGAUAUUGGAUUUGAAGAAGUUCGCGUAGUGGGCAUCUAUGGAAUGAGCGGGAUAGGUAAGACCACCAUCGCAAAAGCCGUCUACAACCUAAUGGUCCGGGAAGGAUUUGAAGGAUGCAGUUUCCUUUCAAAUAUUAAAGAUGACUCGCAGCAACCUAAUGGUCUUGCUAAGAUGCAAGAGCAGCUCCUUUCUGAUAUCUUGAAUUGGAAAAAAAUCAAGAUCGAUAAUAUUGACAGGGGUGUCAAUUUAAUCAAGGAGAGGCUUUGUUGUAGAAGAGUUUUUAUAGUUCUUGAUGACUUGAAUGAGUCAGCACAAUGGAGACCAUUAGUUGGUGAUCGGAAGUGGUUCGGUCGAGGAAGUAGGAUUCUCGUUACAACCAGAGAUGAACAUUUGCUGACUGAAUUAGAGGUGGAUGAAAGAUAUAAGGUUAAGCAAUUGAAUCAUAUAGAUUCAAUUCAGCUUUUAAGUUGGUAUGCAUUUAGGGGGCCUGUUCCAGAAAAAGAUUACUUCGAACUUUCCAACAGUUUGGUGGAGCAUGCUGAAGGACUCCCCUUAGCUCUGGAAAUUUUUGGUUCUUCUUUGUUUAAAAGAAGCCUACCAGAAUGGGAAAAUUUUGUGGAAAAAUUACAAAAGGUCCCUCACCAACAAAUUCAAAAGAAGCUUAGGAUAAGCUUUGACACACUAGAUGAUGAUUUAUUGAAAGCCAUAUUUCUUGAUAUUGCAUGUUUUUAUGUUGGGAUGGAUAAAGAUUAUGUGAUGACAAUACUAGAUGGUUGUGGAUUCUUCCCAAAAAUUGGGAUUAAAGUCCUUCUUGAAAGGUCUCUCAUAGCAAAUGACCCACAUGAUCAAAAGCUACAAAUGCAUAACCUACUCCGAGACAUGGGAAGAGAGAUUGUUCGUGAAGUAUCACCAUCUCCUGGAUAUCGAAGCAGGCUUUGGUUUCAUCAGGAUGUUGUAGAUGUAUUAACGAAACAUAUGGUAAAAAGUUAAAUGCGUUUCGUAAAUAGAUAUAAAAAUGCACUAUAUGCUAUACUUAAGUAGAAUUAAUAAUAUUUUUGAUUUGUAUUUAGGGGAUGGAAGCAGUGGAAGGUCUCAGCUUAGAUGUACCAGCACUAGAAGAUGACCCUAUAAGCACCGAAGCAUUUGCAAAGAUGAUCAACUUAAGAUUGCUGAAAAUCGAUUCUGUACGUUUCACUGGUUCCUAUGAAAAAUUUUCUAGAAAGUUAAGAUGGCUCUGGUGGCGUCGAUGUCCACUAAUGGUUUUGCCGCCCAACCUUCAUCUAGACAACUUAGUUGCUCUUGAAAUGCGACACAGUAGUAUCAAAAAAGUUUGGAAGGAGACAAAAGUAAUUAAAAUCACUCUCACGAUGCUAUGUGUUUUCUUUUCAUUUUGAUAUUCUAGAUUUUUUUUUCUUAGAGGAUAUUAUGGAUUUGUUGUUGUUUUCUUUUCCUUGUUUUAACAGGCUCUUUACAAGCUUAAAAUCCUAGAUCUGAGUUAUUCGGUAUACCUUGGAGAGACACCAAACUUUGCAAGACUCUCAAGCCUACAAAGACUUGAACUUGAAGGUUGCACAGGUUUAGUUGGGGUUGAUCAAUCUAUUGGACAUCUGGAAAAACUUGAAUUCUUGAAUUUGGCAGAGUGCAAGAACAUAAGUGAACUUCCAGACAGCAUUUGCAACUUAAGGUCUCUUGAGACAGUGAACCUCAAUGGCUGCUCAAAACUUUGUAGUUUGCCAGAGCAUUUGGGUAAAUUGGAAGCUUUGAGAAAGCUUGUUUUAAGUGGAUCUGCUAUUACAGAGUUGCCUACUUCGAUCGGACUUUUGAAGAAACUUGAAGAUCUAUCUUUAGCUGGACUGAGAGAAGAGUUACCUUUGAAGUCUUGUUUCUCUUUCUUUUCCUCAUGGAUCUCUCCAAAAAGUAGUGUGGGUUCUUCUUCUUCGCUGCUACCAGCAACGUUCUCUCAGUUAAGCUCAUUAGGAAAGGUUAAUCUUUGUGACCUCAACUUGUCUGACCAUGAAAUUUCCAUUGACUUUGGGAGUUUCCAUUUUUUGUGUAGUUUGAAUUUAGGGGGAAACAACUUCUCUAACCUACCCGCAGGAAUCAGCAACCAUCCAAGGUUAGAGACACUUGAGUUGAAUAACUGCAAAAACCUUCGAUCCAUUACAGAGCUUCCUAAAAAUUUAAGGGACGUAUACGUAAAGCAAUGCACAUCACUUGAGAGAUACCCAAACUUAUCAAACAUAGGUGGAAAACUUCUUAGAAUCGCAUUUAGUAAUUGUUGCAAAGUAGCAGACAUUCAAGUUUGGGAUUUUCAUAAAUUGUCUUCUUGUUGGCCCCUUGGACGAGAUCCUAGCCAGCCAGAGGUCUUUCUCUAUCUCUCUCUGUAUACAUAUAAUAUAUAUUAUCAUGCAUGAUAAUGUUCAUAACUACUAGCAUUUCUUUGAAACAGAAGUCGUUGUAUUCCAAGUUGAAGUUUUUGGAAGCUUACUUGCCAGCAAGAGAGCUGCCAAAUUGGUUCGACUACAAAGAAAUUGGAUCUUCAAUACUGUUUUGUAUGCCUUCAAUCCCGAUUGGUUUAGGUCGAGCUAUGAUUGUGUGCGCAAUCUAUUCGGUGAAUGAAGAAUGUAAUGACGAAAGUACUUCUGAAGCUUCUCUUACCAUAUAUUUUAAGAAUAAAACAAAGGGCUGUGAGACUUUUGACAGGUCAGACAAUUCCUUUGAUGGUAAUAUAUGUCAAGAUCAUGCGUGGGUGAGUUACAUGGCACCUAGUUUUGUUACCGACGGUGAAAACAACUUUACCGAUGGUGUAAACGCUGAAGAAGGAGAUGAAAUUGAAGUUUCAAUUGAGCCGCGUGGUGGAAUUCUUGUGAAGAAAUGUGGUAUUCAUCUGCCAAUUCAUGAUAGAUGGGGUUUUAAGAGCCUUAAUUGAUUUAUUUUGUUUAUUGUUGAGACCAAUAUUAAUUUUAUUAGUUGUCAAUAUCAUGAUAGUUUAACUAUAUAUAUGGAAAACAAAUAUGUUCAAGAUAUUGAUAUCAGAAUUAUUAUUCAAAUAUUUUUAAAAUAUGAAAGCACGUCAAAAAUAAUUGUAAAAUUUUUAACAAUUAUGAGUGAAUAUGAAGGUUUUAAUUUUAACUAGUGUUAUCUUAUUCUUAUUUUAUUUUAAAUUUAAUAUAUUUAAAUUAAACUAGUAAAAUUUCUAAUUACGUAGCUAAUAACCAAUUCCUUGUCAGCCAACUACCCAGCCAAAAUUGAACUAUUCCAAUAUUAAUGCAGAACAAAGAAGAUCGUUGAGCACGAAAAGCAACAAUCUAAAUGACAAAAAGUUGGAAAGUGCACAAAAGUAAAAAGACCUGUUUCGUUCCAUACAAAGUAAGCACACUUGGGUUAGUUUCCUUUUAAUUUCAUGGUUUAUGCUUCGGCCUCCAAUUCUACAUUUGUGUUCUCAGUAGCUUCCGAUUCAACAUCUCUCGUCUGUUUUCUUAUAUAUUGAGGUAAGAAGAAUGAACUGAGGUUUGGACCUUGAAUCUCAAUUUUUUAGGUGAAUUGUUAGGUUUUUAAACUCAAAUUUAUUACAGUAAAGUUGUUUACUAACAUUUUUAUUUUGAUAAAUUAAUUUAAGAUUUUUUUACUUUCUAUAAAUAUGUGAUUAUAUUUAAGGUUAAUAGUAUUGUUUGGUAAGAUACUCAUAAGUUAUUAUUAUACAUGAAACCAUGUUUGUUGACAUUUUUUUGGUUAAAAAAUCAACCACUAUUUAUUAAUUUAUCGUUUUUAAAAUGUUUAUCAAAUACAAUAAAACAAAUAAAAUAAAGUAAUAAUUGAUGCAACAAUAUAAUUAUAUGCACCCUAUAAGAUAUUGAAAAUAUAUAAAACCAAAAAAUCUACUUGAUUUUUCUCCAUAAUUUAGAAUAAAAAUAUAUAAUUAUAUGUUUUUAUUUAGUUAUUGAUCUUUUUUAUGCAUUAAAUUCAUAAUUUAAAUCUUUGCAAAUGAGUAUAAAAUUUUUUUUAUAGCAUGAUUUUAGACAAUUACAAUAUUCAUUACCACCUAAUAUGUAUAGCACCUUUUAUUUAAAAUAUUCAAACUUGCCACUAUCAAUCAUUGACCACAUUAGUACCACUAAGCAAUAAUUUUAUGGUUUCCAUAAUUUCAUAUGGUAAAUUUUAUUAAUUUAAAAUUUUAAGUUUUGAUUAAAAAAAUAUGAAAUAUGCACUAAUAAAGUCGACAAUUAUAUAGUAAAAAAAUAAAGAAUUUUGAAAUAUUGGUUGCAAAAAAAUAUAAAAAAUGAUUUUAGUGAAAUAAUUUGUAAAAAAAAUUCAAUUUUAACGAUAAUAAUGAUAAAUAAUAAUAAUUUAUUUUUAUUUUAAUAUAAAAUAAGUAAAAUUUGAUAAUAUUUUUAUAUAAUUUUGAUUUUCAUAACUUUGGAUAAAAUUUUGUGACCUCUAACACAAUUUUGGUAACCUUUAAUAUUAGUUUGGCAACUUAUAAUAUAAUUUUGAUAACUAUUAAUAAAAUUUUGAUAAUCUCUUGAUGUAAUUUUAGUAAUUAACCUUCGGGUAACUUAUAAUAUAUUUUUAGUAAUCAUUAAUAAAAUUUAUGUUAUCAUAUAUUUAACAAUACAUUACGGUAAGAAAGUGUAAUUUCAAUUCUAAUAUAAUGUAAUUUUUUUUAUAUAAUAACAAUAUUGUUUCAUUCAAAUUUAAAAUUUUUUUACUAAAUUUUUUAUUAAAUAGAUUCAUGAUAAGUUUAUUUUAAUUUUUUAAGAUGAAAUUUUUACUUUCGUUUUUGCUAGUUAAGAUGGUUCAAUUUCUAACAACUUUAAGAAUAAAAAAUUUUUUAAUAAUUGAUAACUAAGUUAUUAUUGAUAUGCUAUACUUUUAAAAAAAAUUUUAAUAAUUGAUAAUUAAGUUAUUAUUGAUAUAUUAUACUUUUUUGAUGGCAUUUUAGCUCGGCUUGAUAAGAAUGCCCCCCACUUUGCAUGUCAAAAUAUUUGUGCCAAGCUGCCUGAGAGGGGUAAAACCCUUAAAAUAUAAGAAAGAGAGAUCAGUGACCGAUAAAGGCCAAGAGUGAUUCUGACAUUUGUGCGCCAUUUAAGUUAGAGUUUGGUCUAGGAAAAGGAAGUGGAAUAAAGGCUUAAAAGCUAAGAGUUUAGUAUGUUUAGAAAUGUUUAGAUGAAGCUAUUUAUACCUGUGUGUGUGAUGGGGGGAACUUGGGCCUAGAUAAACCAAGGUCAGCAUAGGAAACUAAGGCUAAUUUUAUAGGCUGAGCUGAGCUGGUAGUUAACUAUUCACUCAAGGCAUGCAAGUCAACACCCUAGGACACCAGCUAGUAGGUUACUAAAAUAACCGUGUUGAUGUGGACCUUGAGAUUUUAGAUUGACCGAAUAUGUUAGCUCGGUUGAAAUGAUCAAAAUGACCUCAUUUGCCAGAUGGCUUAGACUUUGGAAGGAAAUGUCUAUUUUAUCCUUUGGACACUAAAAUGCCCCUAACAGUUCCAUUGUUUUUUUCCUUUUAUUGCUCUUUCUUCGUCUGUUUUCCUUUGGGAAGAUUGAUGAGUUCGUUUAUUUUUCUAGCAGUGAUAGCUCAAAGUAUCAGUCAAUUAAUUUUGCUAGAAAUUCAAUUGAUACUAAAACUCAACUAGACAACUCAAAGAAGAAGAUUUCUAGUUUUGUUGGUUUAAAAUUCAAUGAAUAUGUGCUUGGGUCGAUACAUUUAUGCUUAUGAUCUUCCUUAAAAAUUCAAUGAAGAUAUGCUCAAAGAUUGUCAGCUGAUUACUAGGGCUACUGAUAAAUCCAGUCUGUGUUCAUAUAUACAUAACUCUGGUUUAGGUCCUCAGAUUGAAAGUUCCCAUGCUUUGGAUUUAUGGAAAAGCAAUUGGUUUUCAACAAACCAAAUCUUACAUGAGGUUGUUUUCCGUAACAGAAUGAAGAAAUACAAGUGCUUAACCAAUGAUUUGACACUCGCAUCUGCUGUUUUCGUGCCAUGUUAUGCUGGCCUGCACCUUCGCAAUCUAUGGGGAUUCAAUACCUCUAUAAGAGAUUCAUCUGGUCUCGAUUUGGUUAAAUGGCUUGCAGGAAAACCUGAACGGAAAAGAAUGUGGGGUAAUGAUCAUUUCUUGAUUUCAGGGAGGAUAGCUCGAGAUUUCAGGAAACAAUCAAACGGGAAGUCCGAUUGGGGUAGCAACUUCAGGUCUGAUAGAAUAUGAGAACUGUUGGGCUGAAAGCCUCCAAUCCAAUCACACCAACGGAAGCAAAAUCAAACAAUAAAUCAAACACAUAAGAGACAACAAUUUAACGUGGUUCGGUCCAAUCAACCUAUGUCCAUGGAUGAGAAACAAGAUUCACUAGUUGUAGAGAAUUACAAACAUACAUCAAAUCAUCAACCUCACUUAACAAUCAAUACUCAUAAGAUACUCUCAAUUUCCUCUAGUCCACUCACAAACAAACAUACACACCCAUAAGACGUAGAGCCCCAAUACUUAUAUGGGGUGUCUAUCCCACAAAACCCUAUAACUUUCUUACAUUUUUUUCUCAUACCUAACCCUGUAGAGACUUUACUUAUUUAUAACCAUACAAACUUGCCUAUUAAGAAUCCCUUUCCUCUUAGAAUUUUUCUCUUGCAAGUCAAACUUAACUAUUAAGAAUCCUCUUUCUUUUAGAAAUCUUCUUUUGUAAGUCUUCUUGUCCAUCAAGCCAAACAAAUCUCUUAUGAGAUUUGAGUCAAUAUUCUCAACAAAAACAUGUCAAUGUUAACAAUUGAAUCAGGAUCCUGUAAAAAUGACUUUGCUGUACCAUGCCCCACAUACUUCCAUCCUUCAACAGAUAAUGAUGUUUUUCAAUGGCAGAAACUCAUGAGAAUCCAAAACCUGCCUUUCUUAUUCUCUUUUGCUGGUGGCCAAGAUCCAGACAGAAAGGCUAAACAAGGAUGAGAUUAUCAGCCAAUGCCAGCCUUCAAACAACUUAUGCAAUUUACUAGACUGUGGUUCCAUUGGGCAAUAAAUGCGAUGAUCCAAUUAAUCUGAUGAAAGCUGCUUCAAAGCUCAGUGUUCUGCUUGGAGCCUCCAGGGGAUUCAUUGACAAGAAGGUCAGCUUUUGAUUCCGUUUUGGCUGGUUGUAUUCAUUGACCACCUGAAUGGAAAUAGAUGGUCACUAUUUUUUUCCCAGGUAAUUCUCACAGAGCUGCCACCAUUUGUGCUAGCCUUGAGCCAGCAAUGUGGAGUCAUUUUUAGGUUCCAAUGGUCAAUGUAAACCAGGAGGAUGAAAAAGAACAAAAUUCUAUUGUAAGCCUGAUUCAAAACAAAGGCAUUUUGGUGGUCUGUAUUAAACUUAAAUAUGAUCAUUUAUGUUUUUAUAUCAUAUUUGUUUUAUAUUAAAUAUGUAUAAAAUAUAAAAAAUAUAUUAUCAUAAUUUGUUAUAAGUCAAACAUGAAAUAUAUUUUUUAUUUUGAUCAAACUCAUAAUUUUUUUAAAAUUUUAAAUUAUUUUAUUUUUAUAUAAUAUUUGUAUUAUAUUAUCGUAUUUUAUCUAAAAUUAUUUAAUAUAAUUAAACCCAAAUCAAACUAAAGUAAAAGUGUAUAGCACAAUCUCCAGCCCCCCAAAGUUGACUUGUUUGUAGCAUUCCCUAAAGUGACGAGAAAAUAUUUUUGCGAAUGAGGACAAACUGAAAGACGAUUAAAGUUCAAUUUCCGAAUACAAAAAUCUCUUGGCAUGUGCCAAAGAGUAAUCCAAGCCUCCGAUAGGAAUCUGUCUGUUCAGGUAUCGAUCGCGGCCGCCUUGGGCCCUUCGACAUCUACAUGCUUGCAUUGGGUCUGAUUAUGAGUCGAUUUUCUCUCGAGCGGUGGCCUGUCAGAAGAAAAGGUCAAUAGCUAAUUUUUAAUCUUAUUUGUAAAAUUAAAAAAUAUGUUGCCAGCGUAUCAGACAACGAACUCGGUGGUUAAACUUUAAUCUUGUAGGAUAUUGUUACUUCUUUGAUUAAAGUGAAAUAUUCUCUCUAUUCGUGGAUAUUGACUUUUAUUUAUGGAUAACACGUUCUUUUAUGUGCUUGAUAUCUUUACUUUGAGUUUAAUUAGCUGCACUAUGUUGAUCUUUAUGGACCCAAAUAUUUCAAUAAGUGCAAAAAUACAAUAGGUCAUCUUCAAAUUAAUACUCAUGUACAACCAAUAUAUAUCCAUUCCAUUAUAAUAAUUUUAACGGUAAUUAAAAAUCAUACUCGAAUACCAUCAUUAUAGCGAUGGAUUUUGUUGUUUUAUUUGCAUUAAUUGUCAAUGGAUUCUGAAUUUAAUUAGGCAAAAAAAUAAUUAAAAAGAAAAAUGUGAGAAGAUUGGAUUAAAAAUCUUGGUAGAGUUGCAGAGCUUCCCUCUUAUUUGAGCUCUAUUCCUGCUUACCACAUACCUUGUUUGAAUAAAAUUUUUAUCAUAAAAUAUUGAAUUUUUAGUUUCAUUGAGUAUAAAUCAAAUCCUAAGAAUUUCAUUUAAAAUUAUAAAUAAGUAACAACUUAGUUUUGUUUGACAAUAUUCUCACAUUGCCUGUUAUCAGCAUGGUCCUAUGUUAGUUGAAAUUGUAUCUAAAAUUUAAGGCUAAAUGCUCAAUUAAAGAUUUAAUGUUUACGUGAUUUUCAAUUAAAGAUCUUAACUUUAAUUUGGUUUAAUAUAGGAUGUGUUGGGAAUAUUGACUCAAAUCCCAUAAGAGAUUUGUUUGAGAUUUGUUAGAGAUUUGUUUGAGAUUUGUUUGAGAUUUGUCAGAUAUUGCUUGAUGGACAAGAAGACUUGCAAAAAAAGAAUUCUAAGAGAGAGGAUUCUUAAUAGGUAAGUUUAACUUGCAAGACAAGAAUUCUAAAAGAAAAGGGAUUCUUAAUAGGCAAAUUUGACUUACAGAAGAAGAAUUCUAAGAGGAGAUGGAUUCUUAAUGGGCAAGUUUGUAUGGUUAUAAAUAGGUGAAGUCUCUACAGGGUUAGGUAUGAAAAAAAAUGUAAAAGAGUUAUAGGAUUUUGUGAGAUAGACACCUCAUAGGAGUAUUGAGACUCUACAUCUUAUGGGUGUGUAUGUUUGUUUGUGAGUGGACUAGAGGAGACUGAGAGGGUCCACAUAGGUAUGAUGUAUGAGAGCAUAUGAGUAUGUGUUUGGUUAUGUUGAAAGGGUGCACAAGGGUUUGGGUUUGUAUUUAUUUGAGUUGAGAAUACUCCAUAGGACUAGAGGAGAUUGAGAGUGUCUUAUGAGUAUUGAUUGUUGAGUGAGGUUGAUGAUUUAUGUAUAUUUGUAAUUCUCUACAACUAGUGGAUCCUUGUUUCUCAUCUGUGGACGUAGGUUGAUUGGACCGAACCACGUUAAAUUGUUAUCUCUUGUGUGUUUGAUUUAUUAUUUGAUUUAUUAUUUGAUUUUGCUUUUGCUGACAUGAUUGGAUUGGAGGCUUUUAGCCCAAUAAAUGAUAUUAGAGCUGUGGUGUUCCCCAACAGGAUUUACUAUUUUCAAAUUUGUUCAAAAAAGGCCUUUAUUAUGGUUGUGAUUUACACGCGCUAGAAAAAGCGUGAAUCAUUGUUUUUCAAUAUAAUGAAUAGUAAAAAUAACCAAAAAUUGUUUCUUCUUCAAUUUCUCUUCUCAAGCAAACCCUGUUUUCUUAUUCUUUCUAACCGAAAAUCAAAUCCUCAAAAAUUAACCUUUUUCUCCAUCGAUCUUAUUGCCAAUGACCACCUUCGAUCUUUAUCCUUCACCAACAGCAUAGCUUCUUCGUGGUUGAAACCAAAAUUUUUGGUUUAACCCUUUUUUCUUUCUAAGUCCCUAAGUCAAAACCCAACAACAACCUAGAAAAUGAAGAGCUCAAGAAUCACAGAAUCUCAUUGCUAGAAUCUGAUGCCAUUCACAGUUUAUUGUGUUACCAAUCGAUCAACACUUCCUCCCUUUUCUAACUCUAUUUUAAAUCUCAGAUAGUCUCAAAAAAAUCAAACCAAGAAAAAUGUUUUGCUGAGAAAUUUCCAAAAAGAAUCAAACCCAGAAAAAACCCUUGCUGAUGAAUUCUAGAAUCUUGUUAUUGUGGUUGCUUCUUUGUAUUGGAAUGCCUUUAUUGGAUCAAUUACUUCUUUGAGGCUAGUUGCUGAUUGUUGAUCUUGCUGAUGAAUUUGCUUUGUUGAUUGUCUAACAAAAAAAUUUCUCUUAGCCCAAAAAACUUCUUAGAAGAAUGGAUUUACUGUGUAUUUUUUCUUCCCUUCAAGGAUUCAAAAACUUUGCCCAAUUUUCUCGCAUUUCAGUGACUUUUGAUUGUAAAUUGCUACUAUCUAGCCUCCCUUGCUUGAUUGUUUGAGGCUAAUUGUUGUGCUUAAUUUUGCUCUUUACCUCCCUAUUGAUCAUCAAUUCUUAUUGUGUUCAAUUUUUGUAUUUUGUUCAUUAAAGUUAAUGGGUUUAAUGGAAAACAUUAAUAGAUAAUAGACUUAACAACGCAUGUAAGGCAUAGUCGUAACUUAGUCCUUAUUUGAACAAAUUUGAAAAUGUAAUAUCCUACAUUAAACCAAAAUUAAAACUGAGAUCCUUAAUUGAGCAACUACUCAAACCUUUAAUCCCAAAUUGAACAUUUAGCUCAAAUUUUGUAUUAGCCUCAUUUGGCUUGAAAAUUUAUUUGAUUAUGUAUUCACACUGCUUCUAAUUUUUAAUUGUGAACGAUAAAAAUUGAAUAAUUAUCCUAUAGACUCCACUAUGUAAGAUCAUUACUCAAUUAAAAAGAUCUUAAAGUUGUUUUCAAUUUCCGUCCCUCCAAUGAAUUUCUUUGAUUUGUUUAAAUCAUUUGGUGAUUUGGGAUAACAUCUUCUAGGGGAGUUUCAUAGAGAGGGCAACAAUCCAAAAUAAAAUAUAAUAAAUAAGAAUAGUAUAUCAAUUAGGUCACUUUUACUUUUUGUUGUGUUUUUUGCAAAAAAGAAUGAAAUAGAGAAAAAAAAGUUUUGAAUAGAAAUAUUCAAAACAAAUAACAAAAGGCAAAAUCAUUUAUCAUGAAACUUAAUUUUUCACAAUGAUUUUACCAUAUAAUACAGACACCUUAGAGCAUAGAUUUGUAAUUCGAAUGUCCAAAGUUUCUAAAAACCUUGAUAAUUUUUUCAUCUCAUCAAACAAAUAUGUUCCUAAAGAAUAGUACAAACAUGAGCCAGUCAACAGAUUUAGAUAAUUAAGAUCCCAAAAUUCUAUAUUUUUAUGUACAUUGUGAAUGCAUUUCGAUCACUUUACUAUAUAUAUAAUGAUUUAAGUUAAAUUAAUAAAAUGCGAAGGAUGAGGGCAGGUUGAAUUAAAAAGAUAUUAUUGAAGUCUACAUCACUACCCGCUCACUACUCCUUCAAGUCAUUUCCCAGUAAUUUCCAUUCGGCCUAUGAAUUUUUUGGAUCAGACAAUGAUUUAAUGAAGCAUUUUCCUGGAGGUUCCUAGUGAUAGUAACGCUUCCAAUAAAAAAUACAUUAAUUUGAAUAGUAAGGAUUAGUAAACCCUUAUAUUUUAAUUCUCGUAUGGAUGUACUAAAUUUCCAAAAACCAUUUUCUCCAUUGCAUUUUUUUUGUUUGACUUUCCAUGGCUGCCAAAGGUUUCUUUGAAGCAUCUUCUUUUGGCUUCAAAUGGAAGCAUGACGUCUUUCUAAGUUUCAAAGGAGAAGACACUUGGUUUUUGGAAAUUCAGUUCAAGUUUGAUUGAGUUUUAAAUUUUAAAUUUGAGCUUGACUUGAGAUAAAAGUUGAGCUAUUCAAACUCAUUCAAUUAGGUUCAUUUAUAAAAUAAAAAAAAAAAGUUCAAUUCUCAUGCUUAACUUUAAGCUUGAUUAGUUAUCUUGAAAUUAAAUUCAUAUAUAUAUAUAUAUAUAUAUACUAAUUUUAUUCUAUGUGCUAUGCACAUAAUUGUUAACCAAAUUAUAAUUAUAAUAUAAUAUAAUAAUUUUUGAUAUUUUAUAAUAAUAAAAUUGAAUAAUUAUCAAUUAUACUAAAUUAAAUUAAAAAUGUAAUUUAAGUUAAAAAAUAAAUAUAACAAAAAAUUAAAUUAAAAUUUCAAUAAAAAUAUAUAUUUAAUCUUCUUUAAUUUUGGAUUCCUUUUUAGAGAUUUCUUUAAGUCUUUUAGUGUUAAGUCUUCAUUUUCAUUUUUUUAUAUUUUUCUUUUUUUUAAUUUUUUUCAACUAUAAAAGAUUCUCUUCUAUUACAAUCAAAUCGGAUCUUGUACUUUCCUUCUUCUCUAUUUUAUGUUUUUUCUAGAGCUUUUUAAAGCUUUUUUAGUGGUGGAUUUUUAUCUUCAAAUUUAUAAAUUUUUUAGGCAAUUGAUCAUUGUCAAACUCAUUCAAACUACUAUUUUUCAUCUAUUUGCUAUUGAAAAUUUAAAUUCGUUAUUUUGAUUUGAAACCAAAUUGUUAUAAAGUUUUUGUUACUUGAAAUAAAGUAAAUAUAUAAUUUUUUUUUCAUCAUUAACUUUUGUUUUUAACAUGUACUUAUUUAUGUAAUAUAAAUCAUUUUGUAAUUUCAUUUUAUAGUAAAAAAUGCAUACUUGCAUGAAUUUUACUAAUUAAAAAUAUUAAUUUAUAAACAUAUUCCAAAAAAAAGAUAUGAAGUAAUAAAAAACUAUUAGUAUCUCGAUGAAAUAAUCAAUGAUGUUUAUUUAUGUAUUUAUAAGAGAUAUUGACUAAAACUACUUUUAGUAUCGAAUAUUGAUUUUUUAAAAAGCAGUUAAAUAUACAAAACUUACUAAAAUAUGUUAUUCUAAGAGUUUAAAUGACAAACCUUACUUAAAUGUAUACCUUAUCCUAAUCAAAUAGUUUUUAAUGUUGUUCUUUAAAUAUUCAAAUACUUUUUUCAAUUAACUUUGGUUCAAUAUUAGUAUUGUUUGUUAAAUAUGAAAUAUCAUAAUUUUAAAAUUAAUAAGAUAUGAUCUAUUUUAGAUAAAUAUCAAAAGAUAUAUUUUAAAGGUAAACUAUGUUUUAAAUCUUAGACUUUAAAUUUGAUAGUGAAUAUAUUUUUAAUAUUUGAACUCUUUUUUAAUUAAAAUGGAGUAAUUUCAUUAUUCAAUGAACACUUAAUUAUAUAUCAAGUAUAAGUCAUACAAAAACUUCAUCAUUUAAACAAUAUUGUUUUAAAAUUAUAAUUUAUAGAAUUCAUACUAUUAUUAGUAUUAUUAGAUCAUAUAUUUUAAUUUAAAAUAUUAUGUACCUGAGAAAAUAACUAAUAGGUAAUUUUUCUAUGGUGUUUUCCAAUAAAUUUAGACUCAUUAUUUUUCUCUUUCAUUUUAAAAAUAUCUUUAAAGACAAUAAUUUUUUGUAUAAUUACUAUCAAUGUUAUAAAUGAUACCAUAAAACACAACAAUUUAUUUUAGCAAAGAUAUAGCAUUAAUCUAGUUACUAUUAAUAUAUUAUCAAAUAGACAAUCAAUGACAUACAAAUAUAGAUAAAGUUAUUCAAAAUUUUCAAUUCAAAAUUUGACUUUUGUUUUAAUAAUAAUAUGUUGUUAUUGUAAUUGGUAUAUGAAUAUUGUUUUGAUUAUUUAAAUACGUAUACAAUAUCCACAAAUAUUGUAACUCAAUACCUUAGUAUUAAAUGACAAUUAGUAUAAUUUUCUAAAUGAAUUAAAUAUGUUGACAUAUUAAAAAAUAUAGCUCUAUAUCAAUAUGUAACCAAAAAAAAAAAAAACUACUAAGUUAGUAAUGAUUUACUGCUAUAUGUUAUUGAUGAUUUGCUGCUAAGUUAUAUCACUAAUUUAUUAUUAAAAUAUAAAUAAUUUACUAUUAAGUUAUCCAAAUUUUACUACUAUGCUAAAAUUGAUUUACUAAUAAGUUAUCAUUGAUUUACAACUAAAUUAUAAGUGAUUUAGCAUUUAGCUAUUAAUAAAUUACAACUAAGUUAACUCUAAUUUAUUAUUAUAACUGAUUUAUUACUAAGUUUGUACUUUACUCUUGCUAGUAAUAAGAGUUCAAUCCCUAAAACUUUAAAUAUAAAAAAACUUAUCAUCGAUUGACAAUUAAGUUAUUAUUGAUUUAUUACUAUGUUAGUAGUGAUUUAUUAUUAAAUUAUUAAUGAUUUAUUAUUAAGUUAUGAAUAAUUUACUACUAAGUUAUUGAUGAUUUAGUACUUAAUUAUUGAUAAUUUAUUAUAAAGUUAUAACUAAUUUACUAUAAAAUUAUCGAUGAUUUACUACAAAAUUAUCAUGGAUAUACAGGUAAGUCAUGAAUGACUUAUUACUAUAUUAUUAGUGAUUUAUUGCUAAAUUCAGUGAUUUACUACUAAACUAUUAUGCAUUUACUAAUUACCAUUGAUUUAUUAUUAAGUUUUCAAUAGUUAGCUAUUAAGUUAUCAAUUAUUUACUACUAAAUUAUUAUUAAAUUACUACUAAGUUAUUUAUGAUAUUUUAUUAAUUUUAUCAAUUAAUUACAAUAUAUGAGAUAACUUUCUUUUUAUAUAAUAUAACAUUAUUGUUUCAUUCAAAUUUAAAAUAUUUUUGCUAAAUUUUUUUAAUGAAUAAGUUCAUGGUAGAUUUAUCCUAAUCCUUUUCUCUUUCUAGUAACCAAGGUUCAAUCAUUAGUAACUUUAAGCAUAAAAAUAUGUUAUCACUAAUUAACAAAUAAGUUACUAUUCGCUUACUAUUAUCUUAUCACUGAUUUACUACUAAAUUAUCAUAAUUUUUCGCUAAGUUAUAGAUGAUUUACUACUAAGUUUUAAACAAUUUAUUACUAAGUUAUUGAUAAUUUACUAUUAAGUUAUUAAUAAUUUAUUAUGAUGUUAUUAUUUAUUUACUAUAAAGUUAUUGAUGAUUUACUAUAAAGUUAUUAAUAAUUAAUUAAUUUACAACUAAAUUAUCAUUAAUUUAUAACAAAAUUAUAACUGAUUUAUAACUAAGUUAUCAAUGUUUUACUAUUACGUUAUUAGUGAUUUACUACUAAGUUAUCGAUAAUUUACUACUAAAUUAUUAAUGAUUUACUACUAUACUAUUAUGCAGUUGCUACUUUAUUAUCAUUGAUUUACUACUGAGUUUUAGUGAUUAGCUAUUAAAUUAUGAUUGAAUUAUCGCUAAGUUAUUUAUAAUUUACUACUAAAUUUAUAAUUUAAUUACUAUUAAACUAAAAUAAAUUUCUAUUAUGCUAUCAUUAAUUUACUACUAAGUUUUUAUUAAUUUACUACUAAAUUAUCAAUGAUUAAUUAUUAAGUUAUCAUUUUUUUAUAAAGUUAUCAUUAAUUUACAACUAUGUUAUUAUGCAUUUAAAAUUAUGUUAUAAUUGAUUUAUUAUUAAGUUAUUAUGCUUUGACUAUUAUAUUAUUACUAAUUUACUACUAAAUUAUAAUUGAUAUACUAUUAAGUUAUAUCUCUAAUUUACUACACCAACUUAUUACUGAUUAACUAUUAAUUUACUUAUGAUUAUUAUUAAGUUAUAUUGAUUUAUUUUUAAUUUUCAAUUAUUAAUUACUACUUAGUUAUAAAUUAUCAUUGAUUUAUCACUAAGCUAUUUGUGAUUUAUUACUAAAUUUGUCAAUUAAUUACUACUCCCUUUAUUUGUUCCAAUUAAAUUGUCACAAUUGAUUUUUUUGGUUAAAUUUUUCUAACUUUGAUAUCUAUUAUUUUAAAUAUUUUAAUAAAUUAAAUUUUACAAAACAUAUAUUUAGAAACCACUUCAUUUAAAGUUUUAAAAUAUUUUUUUCAUAUAUUUAUCAAUAAUAAAUAAAAAAUAAUAGGUUACUAAAAUUGAAAAAAAUUGACCAACAAAAAUCAAAAUGUAAUAAUUUUAUUAGAAUGAAGGGAGUAUUAAACUGAAUCUUAUUUACUAUUAAGUUAUCAUUAAUUUACUAUUAAGUUAUCAUUGAUUUACUAUUAAGUUAUCAUUGAUUUAUUACUAAGUUAUCAAUAAUUAACUACUAAGUUAUCACUUAUUUUUUAUUAAGUUAUACUUAAUUUACUAAUAUGUGUUAUACAUUUACAAUUAUAUAUAAAUGAUUUACUAUAAAGUUAUUUGUUAUUUCCUACUAUGUUAUUAUGUAUUUAUUAUUAUGUUAUCAUACAUUAUUUUAUCAAUUAUUUACUACUAAAUUAUUAUUUAUUUACUAUUAAGUUAUUAUUAUUUUACUAUUAAUUUAUCCAUAAGUUACUAUACAGUUAUUAUUAAUUUAGUAUAAAGUUAUUAUUGAUUUUGUCUAAAUUAUCACUAAUUUAUAAUAAAAUUAUCAAUAAUUUGCUACUAUAUUAUUACACAUUUACUACUAAAUUAUAAUUGAUUUACCAUUAAAUCUUCUAUAAUUAAUUUAAUUGUGUAAAUCAUAUUAAUAGGUGUAAUAUAUUAUAAACACUAAAUUUAUUGCCAUUUUUACAAAUCGAUUAUAAUGAUAAAAGUAUUGCCAUUUUACAAAUUUAUUUUUUAAUUUUUGUAGUUGAUAACAAUGGUCAAUGGAGAACUAGAGGCUGGACAACUUUGAAGGAAUUGCUUACACUACCUUCGAAUGAGCGUAUUGUAGUAUCUGCAAACUCUGAUAAGCAACCAAUUGGUGAAGAGGCUUAACUAUUGGCUAUAUUUCUAGGCAUGCUUGCCCGUAAUGGAAUGAAAUUGCCUAUUCAUUAUGGAACAUGGCAUAAAGUUUCAGCAGAAGUAAAGGCUAAUGCUUUAAACUUUAUUGAGGUAUUAUUAUAAUUAAUUACAUAUAAAAAAAUUUAUUAUUUUAAUUUUGGUUUAUUGAUUAAAACUUUUCUUUUUUGCAUUAUUACAGUUAAGAUUUGUACUUAAAAUACCAACUUCAUUUGUGCUCAAGUCAUUGGGAAAGAAAUGAAAAGAUUAUAAGCAUAAUUUGAAGAAUAAGUAUUUCGAUAAAAAUACAACUGUAGAGGUGACGAUGGAAAAUCUACCCUGUAAUGUGAUUAGAUGGCAAUAUAAACAAUUAGUUAGAUUUUGGUUCUCAAGAAAAGAAGAAGUAUUAACUUAUAACUUUGUAUAGUAGAAUGAAAUAAUGAAAGUGUUUUUGGUAAUAUUUGUAUUUUUACGGUAUACCCAAUUAUUUUUUAUGAUAAGAAAGAAAACAUAUUGGGAUUGGGAGCAGAAAGCAACAGAAUAUAGCCACACAAAUGGAUCAAAAAGUUUUGCAAGAAAGCAAAAAAAAAAAAAAAUAGUAAGUUUAUGAUUUUAAACUUAUUCCAAUGAAUGAACUAUUUGUGCCGUUAAAAGGUAAAUAUGCAAAUUAACAGUUAUUGUACUAUUUUAAUAGUUUUGAUAGUUUCAAUACAUGAUAUUAAACUUGUCUGAUUGAUUGAACUUUGUUUCUACGGUUAAUAUGGGUGAAAAGGUUAUCAUUUAUGUUUAUUUGGGACUAUUUUUGCCUUUAAAAGUUAAAAAUACAAAUUAAACUUUUGGAUGGCUUUCAACAAUUUGAAUGGCUUCAAUCCAUGAUAUUAAAGUUGUCCAAAUAAUUGAAUUUGGUUGCCAUGAUCAAUAUGUGUGAAAGGCCAAAAUGCUUUUAUUGUUUGCGUCUGUUUAAGACUAUUGUGUUGUAAAUGGGCCAAAAUAUAAAUACAUGAUAUUAAAAUUACUCAAAAUUUUUGAACUUGAAUGCCAGGCAUGAUAUGCAUAAAUAAGUUACGAUUGAUAUGUAUCCUAUCAAAUAACAUAUGUUGUUAUAUAGGAGAUUGAAAUGGGUGGUCAAAUUGGACGUGUGAAACUUUUUCGCUUAACAUACACAAAAAAGGGAUAGAUCUUACAUGAAUGUCAAAACACAAGAAAUUGUGGUAAUUUGUAAUAUCUAUUUUAACAAAAAAUAAAUAUUUACUCUUUUUAACAUAUUGUCAAUUAAUCAUUAAACUUGAUAGUUAUAUAUGAUUAAUUUACAAGAGAAAGCGAAAGAGAAAAUGGCUGCUGAGAUUGAAGUAGCAUCUGAUGGUUCUCUCAACAUGUAAGAAUUGAAAAAUUGAAUAUUCAUAGAAGUUGUUGGAAAAUAAAGGUAUGGACAGGUCUGAGGCCUUGGAUUGGGUCCAACACCAUCUACCUAUUGUGGACGUAACUCUCAGCAAUUUACAUUCUCAGCAAGUCAAUCUUCGCGAGACAUUUCAAUAUUGAGAAAAGAGUUGCAAACUAUGCAAUAACGUUUCUAGCAAAUGGAAGCAGAAAGAAAACGGAAGCGUGUCAAAAUUGAGGAAGAACGUGCUAGAAUGGAGCAAAAGCGUGCAAAAUUUUAGCAGUUACAUGAUCGAUUCGAUCAUCUUAUGAAUUUUAUGUAACAACAAUUUUCAGGAGCUGAUCUUAGUAGUCCUCCAACUUAGGUAUUAUAUUUAAUAAAUAUUUAUAUUUUUUAAUAUCAACAAAGCUUACAAUGAAGUGUUAAAAAUUAUAUGCUACUAUUUAGUAGGUUCUUAAGCACGCUAGUGACUAAGGUGAAAAAAUUCCUUCAUCAAUUGAUAGCCUUCAAAAUGUAUGCAGUUAUCAAUUUCAUACAUUUUAAUUUUUAUUUUAUUAAUGUAUACAAAAAUUUUGAAUGUUAAUACUAAUUAUUAAAUUUUGUGUUAAUUAGAUGUAUAUUUGAAUUUGAAAUAAAUUUAUAUUAAUUUCAGUAUCUGAAUCUAAGCUCGUUUAUGAAAAUAAUAAAUAUUAACAGAAAUUUUUUAUUUAAAAAAAAUACAUUUCUCAAUUUUGCAGCGUUUGUGUUCAAGAAUGUCGCUAAAUGAAUAAUUUAGUGGCGUUGUACCAUAAAAUGCUACUAAAAGUAGCGGCACUUUUGCUUGAAAACGAGCUAAAUUGGCAGUGUUUUGUGAUAUAAUGCCACCAAAGUAACGGCAUUUUUCUAAUAAAAAUGCCACUAAAUUAGUGACGUGUCAAAGGUACAAACGUCGCUAAUAUAGCAGUGUUUUCUAGAUACAAAUGUUGCUAAUAUAACAAUGUUUUCUAAAUACAAAUACCGCUAAUAUAGUGGCAUUUUUCAUAUACAAACGCUGCUAAUAUAGUGAUAUUUUUCAUAUACAAAUGUCACUAAUGUAGCAGCAUUUUUUAAAAAACAUCGCUAUUUUUUGUGAUACGUGUAUAGUCAAUACUUUGAUUGAUAUUUUUUGCAAACAUCAUAAAUCUUUUAAUAAAGUUUAUAAAUAUCGCUAAACGUAAAAAAAAAUCACUAAAAACCAAAAUCCUGUAGUGAAUGUUUGCACUAUGAUUGAUUACAAGUCUCGAUUCUUUGGAGUCGUGGCGUAUCAUAAGAAAAGUAUCCACUUCAUGACGACGUCAAGGUUGACAAGUUGUAAAGUUGACAAUUUGUGAGGGUGAUAUUUUUUAUUAGGCUUCAGUACUGUAUUUUAUCAUAAUUAAUUACAACAAUUGACAAAUUAAAAUACAAUUAAAUAACAAAAUUUAUAUACAAUGAAGUUUACACCUAAAAUCCUAAUAUUCUAUAUUUUUAUAUACAUUGUGAAUGCAUUUCGAUCACUUUAUUAUAUAUAAUGAUUUAAGUUAAAAUAAUAAAAUACGAAAGACAAGCAGGUUGAAUUAAAGAGAUAAUAUUGAAGUCUAUAUCACUGUGCACCUACUACUCAAAGUCAUUUUCCAUUCAUUUUCAUUCUGCGUAUGAAUUUCUUGAAUCAGACAAAAUAAUUUAAUGAACCUUUUUCUUGGUCAGCUCCUAGGGAUAGUAACUCUCCCAAAAAAAAAUUGCAUUAAUUUGAAUAGUAACAAUUAGUAAUGACCCUUAUAUCAUAUUGAAAUUUUUAGAUGGAUGUACUAAGUUUCCAAAAACCAUUUUCUCCAUUGCAUUUUUUUUGUUUGACUUUCCAUGGCUGCCAAGGGUUUCUCCGAAGCAUCUUCUUUUGGUUUCAAGUGGAACCAUGACGUCUUUCUAAGUUUCAAAGGGGAAGACACUCGGAAGAACUUCACGGAUCAUCUUUAUGCAGCUUUGGUGAGAGAUGGAAUGGUUACCUUCAGAGAUGACGAUAAACUUCCCAAGGGAAAAGACAUCUCCUCGGAGCUCCUCAAAGCAAUUGAAGAAUCAAAACUUUCUAUAGUGGUUUUCUCUAAAAACUAUGCUUCUUCCGGGUGGCGUCUUGAUGAGCUUGUCAAGAUUAUUGAGUGCAAAAACACAACAGGCCAGGUUGUUAUUCCAGUCUUCUAUGAUGUUGAUCCAUCUGAUGUCCGGAAACAGAUCGGAAGUUAUGAAGAAGCUUUUGCUAUACACGAAGAACAAUUUAAAGAUAAGAUGGAAAGGAUCAAAAAGUGGAGAGAAGCUCUUACAGAAGCUGGAAAUUUAUCCGGCUGGGACCUUCAAAAUAUGGCAAACGGGUAAUAUUUAAUUUUUAAGAUGAAUCAUCCAAAAAAUUCUAAGAUAUGUAUAUAUAUGUACAUCUUCGUUUCUAAAUAAAAAAAAAUUAAAUGAAACUAAUUUUAAUUACUAGUUAGUGCUAUUAAAAUUAUUAUAUGCGCCUAAUUUUAAAUUCUUGUAGUCAAUUUAUAUCUUAGUAUAAUUUUUUUUUUUUUUUUUUUUAUGUUUGAUGACUUAAACCUUAAAAUUAAGAUUGAAAAUUCUACGCAAACUAUAAAUACCUGAAAAAAUAUCUAAUUUAUUUUUGUUGUAAAAUUGUUUGUUUGAAGUGUAACAUGAGAAUAUAUCAUAUAUAAUUAUUGUAAUAUAAUUAAUUAAUUAUAAUUUAAUAUUGUAAAGUGUCCAUCAAAAAAUUAUUUAAAUGAUGAACACUUAAAUAAUUUUUUGUUAUAAUUAAUUAAUUAUAGUAUUGUAAUCAAGAGAAUUAUAAAAAUUAAAUAAUCAAAAGCGGAUGUUUACUAAUAAUUAAAUAAUCAAAAGCGGGUGUUUACUGAUAAUCAAAUUUUCUUUUUCUUGUGUUUUUUCAUCGCAAAUGAUUUUACAGGUAUGAAUCGAGAUUCAUCGAAAAAAUUGUCAAAGAUGUUAUCCAAAAAUUAAACCGUAAUAUUCAUAAUAGUUUGCACGUCACCAUUCACCCUGUAGCUCUAGAAUCACGUGUCAAAAGGGUGAUGAGAUUAUUAGAUAUUGGAUCUGAAGAAGUUUCGCAUAGUGGGCAUCUAUGGAAUGAGCGGGAUAGGUAAGACCACCAUCGCAAAAGCUGUCUACAACAUGGUUUGUGAAGGAUUUGAAGGAUGCAGUUUCCUUCAAAUAUUAAAGAUGACUGGCAGCAACCUAAUGGUCUUGCUAGGAUGCAAGAGCAGCUCCUUUCUGAUAUCUUGAAUUGGAAAAAAUCAAGAUAGAUAAUAUUGACAAGGGUGUCAAUUUAAUGAAGGAGAGGCUUUGUUGUAGAAGAGUUUUUAUAGUUCUUGAUGACUUGGAUGAGUCAGCACAAUGGAGACCAUUAGUUGGUGAUCGUAAGUGGUUUGGUCGAGGAAGUAGGAUUCUUGUCACAACUAGAGAUGAACAUUUGCUCACUGAAUUAGAGGUGGACGAAAGAUAUAAGGUUGAGCAAUUAAAUCAUGAGAAAUCGAUUCAGCUUUUAAGUUGGUACGCAUUUAAGAGGCCUGCUCCAAAGAAAGAUUACUUCGAACUUUCCAACAUCUUGGUGGAGUAUGCUCAAGGACUCCCCUUAGCUCUUGAAAUUUGGGGUUCUUAUUUGUUUAAAAGAAGCCUCCCAGAAUGGGAAAGUUUUGUGGAAAAAUUACAAAAGGUAGCUCACCAACAAAUUCAAAAGAAGCUGAGGAUAAGCUUUGACAAACUAGAUGAUCAUUUAUUGAAAGCCAUGUUUCCUGAUAUUGCAUGUUUUUAUAUUGGGAUGGAUAAAGAUUAUGUGAUGACAAUGCUAGAUGGUUGUGGAUUCUUUCCAAAAAUUGGUAUGAAAGUUCUUCUUGAAAGGUCUCUUAUAGCAAUUGACCCAGAUAAUCAUAAGCUACAAAUGCAUAACCUACUCCGGGAUAUGGGAAGAGAGAUUGUUUAUGAAGAAUCACCAUUUCACCCAGGAUAUCGUAGCAGGCUUUGGUUUCACCAGGAUGUGGUAGAUGUAUUAACGAAACACACGGUAAAAAGUUAAAUGCAUUUCGUAAAUAGAUCUAAAAAUGUACGAUGUGCUAUUCUUAACUAGAAUUAAUAAUAUUCUUUAUUUGUAUUUAGGGGAUGGAACCAGUGGAAGGUCUCAGCUUAGACGUACCAGCACUAGAAGAUGACCUUAUAAGCACUGAAGCAUUUGCAAAGAUGAUCAACUUAAGAUUGCUGAAAAUUGAUUCUGUAAAUUUCACUGGUUCCUAUGAAAAAAUUUCAAAAGAAUUAAGAUGGCUCUGUUGGUGUCGAUGUCCACUAAUGGUUUUAACCGCCCAACCUUCAUCUAGACAACUUGGUUGUUCUUGAAAUGCAACACAGUAGUAUCAAAAAAGUUUGGAAGGAGACAAAAGUAAUUAAAAUCACUCACAAUGAUAUGUGUUUCUUUUUAUUUUGAUAUUCUAGAUUUUUUUUUCUUAACGCACAUUAUGGAUUUAUUGUUAUUUUCUUUUUCUUGUUUCAACAGGCUCUUCACAAGCUUAAAAUACUAGAUCUGAGUUAUUCGGUAUACCUUGGAGAGACACCAAACUUUGCAGGACUCUCAAGCCUACACAGACUUGAACUUGAAGGUUGCACAGGUUUAGUUGGGGUUGAUCAAUCUAUUGGACAUCUGGAAAAACUUGAAUUCUUGAAUUUGGCAAAAUGCAAGAACAUAAGUGAACUUCCAGACAGCAUUUGCAAAUUGAUGUCUCUUGAGACUAUGAACCUCAAUGGCUGCUCAAAACUUUGCAGUUUGCCAGAGAAUUUGGGUAAAUUGGAAGCUUUGGGAAAGCUUGUUUUAAGUGGAUCUGCUAUUACAGAUUUGCCUGUUUCGAUUGGACUUUUGAAGAACCUUGAAGAUCUAUCUUUGGCUGGACUUAGAAAACAGUUACCUCCUAAGUCUUGGUUCUCAUACUUUUCUUCAUGGAUCUCACCAAAAAGUAGUGUGGGUUCUUCUUCUUUACUGCUACCAGCAACGUUCUCUCAGUUAAGCUCAUUAAGAGAGCUUAAUCUUUGUGACCUCAACUUGUCUGACCAUGAAAUUUCCAUUGACUUUGGGAGUUUCCAUUUUUUGAGGAGUUUGGAUUUACGGGGAAACAACUUCUGUAACUUACCCGCAGGAAUCAGCAACCAUCCAAGGAUAGGGAGACUUGUAUUGAAUAACUGCAAAAACCUUCGAUCCCUUGCAGAGCUUCCUAAAAAUUUAUGGACUUUAGAAUCAAAGCUUGGCACAUCAAUUGAGAGAUACCCAAACUUAUCAAACAUAGGUAAAAAUCUUUAUAAAAUCGCAAUUAGUAAUUGUCGCGAAGUAGCUGACAUUUAAGGUUGGGAUUUUCGCUCAUUUCAUCAAUUGUCUUUUAGUUGGAAUCUUGGACCAGAUCUUUACCAGCCAAAGGUUUUUCUCUAUCUCUCUCUGUGUACAUAUAAUAUAUAUUAUCAUGCAUGAUAAUGUUCAUAACUAUUAGUAUUUCUUUGAAACAGAAGUGGUUGUAUUCCAAGUUGAAGUUUUUGGAAGGUUACUUCCCGGUUAGAGAGGUGCCAGAUUGGUUCGACUAUAAAGAAAUUGGAUCUUCAAUACCGUUUUGUAUGCCUUCAAUCCCGAUUGGUUCAGAUCGAGGUAUGAUUGUGUGCGCAAUCUAUUCGGUCAAUGAAGAAUGUAAUGACGAAAGCACUUCUGAAGUUUCUCUUACCAUAUAUUUUAAGAAUAAAACAAAGGGCUGUGAGACUUUUGUUAGGUCACAUAGUUCCCUCGAUGGGAAUAUAUGUCAAGAUCAUGCGUGGGUGAGUUACAUGGCACCUAGUUUUUUUAUCGAUGAUGAAAACAAUUUUAUCUAUGUUGUAAACGCUGAAGAAGGAGAUGAAAUUGAAGUUUCAAUUGAGCCGCAAGGUGGAAUUUUUGUGAAGAAAUUUGGUGUUCAUCUGCGAAUUCAUGGGUAGAUGGGGUUAAGUUUUAAGAGCCUUCAUUGUUAAGACCAUUAUUAAUUUAAUUAGUUGUCAAUAUCAUAAUAGAGAAAUGAUGUGACCUGUUUCGUUUCGCAAAUUAAGCACACUUGGGUUAGUUUUGCUUUUCAUUUUGUCGUUUAUGCUUCGGCUUCUGAUUCUACAUUUGUGUUCUCAUUAGCUUUCAAUUCAACAGCUCCCAUCUGUUUUCCUACACGUGGAGGUACAAAGAAAGAAAGAGAUUUGGAUCUUGAAUCUUAAUUUUUUAAAUGAAUUGCUAGGUUUUUUUAACUCAAAUUUAUUUCAGUAAAGUUGUUUAGUAACAUUUCUAUUUUGUUAAAUUCAUUUAAGGUUUUUUUUUUAUUGUCUAUAAAUAUAUGAUUAUGUUUAUAAAGUUAAGAAUAUUGUUUCGUGAGAUACUGAUAAGCUAUUAUUAUACAUAAAAUCAUGUUUAUUGACAUAUUUUUCUGUUAAAAAGUUAGCCACUAUCUACUAAUUUAUCAUUUUUAAAAUGAUUAUCAAAUACAAUAUAAAUCAAAUAAAUUAAUUUCAAAAGGUAAUAAUUAUAUGCACCUCAUAUGAAAUUAUGAAUAUAUAAAACCAAAAAUUCUGCUUAAUUUUUCUCCAUAAAAAUAUAUAAUUAUAUGUUUUUAUUUAGUUAUUGAUUUUUUUUUUGGAAUUAAAUUCAUAAUUUAAAUCUUUGCAAAUGAGUAUAAAAUUUUCUUUAUAGCCUGAUUUUAGACAAUUGCAAUAUUCAUCAGUACCCUAUAUGCAUGGCACCUUUUAUUUGAAAUAUUCAAACUUGCCACUGACAAUCAUUGACCAUAUUAUUACCACAAACAAUCUCUUCCAUGUAGCAAUAAUUUUGUGGUUUCUAGAGUUUCAUAUAAUAAAUUUUUUAAUUUAAAAUUUUAAGUUUUGAUUAAAAAAAAUGAACUAUGCACUAAUAAAGUCCACAAUUAUAUAGUAAAAAAUUAAAGAAUUUUGAAAUAUUGCUCAUAAAAAAAGUAUAAAAAAUUAAUUUUAAGUGAAAGAAAUUUCAAUUAUUUGGAUUCAAGCAAUAUUUAAUUUUUUUUAAAUAUCACUAUUAAAUGAGAAAUGAGAAAAAAUAUCUUUAUCUAAACUUUUUUAUAAAGAAUCAAAAUAGAAAAUCUAAAUUAUUUGUAUUGUCUGCUUAUGAAGCUUAUGCAUAAAAGACUAACCAAAACAAUAAUGCAGCUAUUUAGCAUGCAAGAUUAGGCCAUGUUGGAUAUCAGUAAUAGAAGGAAAUCGCAUCCAAGCAGAUGGUUGAUGGCGUUUCUAUUCUGAAAAGCAUACCUCUAGACUUGGUUUGCCAAGAAUGUAAAUUUUGCAAAUCUCAACGCUUGUCUUUCAAGACAUCGCAAAAUCAAAGAUCAAAAUCUUUUGAUUUGAUUCAUUUGGACUUGAUAGGACCAACCAAAACAUCAAGUUACAGCAAUUAUCACUACAUGAUUUUUGUUGAUUAUUUUUCCAGGUUUGCUUGGGUGUAUUUUCUGAAGCAGAAGAUGAGGCUAUCGACAAGUUUCUUGAGUUCAAGAAGUAAGUUGAGAAGGAACUUGAUGUUCAGAGCAAGUGCCUAAGAACAAACAAUGGGCAAACAGACUUUCUGAAGUUUUGUGGAGACAAUGGGAUUCAAAAGUAGAUAACUUGUCGAAAGAGUCCUCAACAAAAUGGAGUUGCUGAAAGGAAAUUUGCACAUAUCUCAAAGACAAGUUUGUCAUGGAUACAUGACAAGAAUCUUCCUCGACAAUUGUGGGUUAAAGCUAUGAGUUGCUCAUGUCAUGUAGUGAACUAUUUACCUUCGUGGCAACGUAACCAAUCUCCCUUUCAGCUUUUAUAUGAUAAGAAGCCAAAUGUGAGUUACUUGCGAAUUUUUGGUUCAGUUUGUUAUGCCUUUUGUUUCAAAAAGUGACAGAACAAGACUAGAUCCAAAGGCAAAAAGACGUGUUUUUGCCGGUUAUGAUCAGCAUCAGAAGGAUUGGAGGUGCAUGAUCUAGAAACCAAGGAGUUCACUACCUCUCGAGAUGUGGUAUUUGAUGAUGUUUCACUUUACUAUAAAACUUUAGAAAAGAUUGAGUCAAACAUCAAAGUUAACGAUGUUGCAGAGUUUAAACUAAGCCUACACGAUGACUUUUUCAAUCAUGAAGAAUUCGAAGGGUCUAGAGAAAGGGGGAGCAGCAAAGAAAAAGGCUGCAACAACAAAUUUGAAAGUCAACAAUAGGAACAAGAAAGAGAUGAUCAGAUUACGGUCUAGCCGAGAAAGAAAGCAACCAGCUUGGCAAAAAGGCUAUAAAGUCCAAGCAAAUAAGUCCACUAUAACCCAAUGCUGUUUUAUAGGUCCAAUUGACUCUCGUGAACCUUCAUGCUUUGAAAAGGCUGGAAGGCACCUAAGAUGGGAAGUAGCAAUGCAAGAGAAAAUUUCAGCACUCAUAAAGAAUAAUAGAUGGGAGCUUGUGCCAAAGCCCAAUGAGGCAAUGACAUUGAACCAGUAACAUGCAAAUGGGUUUACAAGUUUAAGAAAAAGGUGGAAGGAUCAGUGGAUCGAUACAAAGCACUGUUGGUUCCUCGAGAUUUCUCGCAACAUUAUGGACAGGAUUAUAAAGAGACAUUUAGCUCAGUUGCUAAGAUGACAACCGUCAGAUCUCUCAUCUCUUUGGCUGCCCAUAAGGAGUGGAAUUUCUGGCAAACAUAAAAAAUGCAUUUCUUUAUAGAGAAUUAGAUAGAGAAGCGUUUAUGAAUCAAACGCACGGUUUUGUCUGUUAAGGAAUUUCCUCACUAUGUUUGCUAGCUUAAGAAAGGUUUAUAUGGCCUACGUAUGGAAAAAUCUCUGAAUACUUAAUCCUUUGUGGAUUCGAAGUUUUUGGUUCUGACUCAAGUAUAUUUGUCAAGAAAAAUUUUGGGAUGCAUUUGUUGUUUCUUUUUAUAUGUUGAUGACAUGAUUAUUCCAGGAGAUAAUUAUGUUAAAAUCAAUAAUUUAUGUGAUGAAUUGGCGAUUCGAUUUAAGAUGAAGAAUCUGGGAAAAGCUGGAUGUUUUCUUGGAUUGGAGGUUGAGGAAUUGGAAAGUGGUUUAUUCUAUAUGCUCAAAACUUACUGGAACAUUUUUCAAUGGGAGAUGCAAAGCCAAAAGGGACUCCCAUGCAACCGCAAAUCAAGUUAAAAAGAGAUGAAGCAAGAUCAAUGGUAGGCAUGCACAAGUUUCGCCAACUUGUUGGUAGUUUGAUUUAUCUGAAUAUAACAAUACCCGAUUUGUCAUUCUUUGUAGCUGUUAUCUCUUAGUUCAUGGAACGUCCUCAAGUCUCUCGUAUUGAUACCGGAGAAAGAUUUUUAAGAUAUGUAAAGAGUAUUAAGGAUCACUAUAACUCUGAUACCACUUGUUAGGUAAAAAAACCCCAUUCCAAUCAAGCCAGUGGAAGUAAAAUCAAACAAUCAAUCAAUCACAUAAGAGACAAUAAUUUAACGAGAUUCGGUCCGACCGACCUUGUUAUAACAUAUAGAUUUGUAAAUCUAUAUCUAGACUUAACAAACUAAGGAGUCGCUAUCAAUCUUUUUUCUAAGUGUGAUUGGCCACCUAAGAAAUCUAUCCUUUUAAGGAGCUCCUAAGCUCAACUAAGGGUCCCGAAAAUAAUAGGUUCAGGUCUACUAACUAGAGUAGGGUUCGGGAGUUCAAUUACAUGUGGGGAAGGUUAUGGCACCCCCACAUGCCUAUCCGAAAGAUGGUACCAUAUUAUUUUAAAUUUAUUUUAGGGUCUUGAGUCUAAUGGUUUCAAAUUUUUAUGUUGAAAUAUUGAAAAUAAUUUAUAAGAUUCUUCCAUCAAUCUGGUAGAAUUCUUAAAAAUAUUUCUUCACCUCAAGAGUAUUCAAGGAUUCCAUUUGUUUCCUUGAAGAUGCUACGUCGUCGAAAAAAUGUUUAUUAUUAUUUUUUAUUAUCUAAUUAUUCUAUCAUUUGGGCCAAAUUAGAAAUAUUUUCUUGUUUUGAAUAUCUAAAUUCUCCACCAUUUAGGCUUAUUUAGAAAAUUUUUUUAUUAUUUUUUUCAGAAAGAAAAUAAUAUGACCAUUAUUUUUAUUGAAAUUUCAUUUAAAUUAUUCCACCAUUUGGGACAAACCUAGAGAAAAUUUCUCACCUAGAGAUUUCUUAGGAAUUUAUCAUUUGAAAUUUUUAAGAAUCUUACCCUUGAGUAAUUAUCACAUAUUUUCAAUCAAAAUUUUAUUUGGAAAAGUAUACAAUUACUUGUGUUGAAAUUUCAUUUAAAUUAUUCCACCAUUUAAUACAAAUUUAGAGGAAAUUUCUUACCUAGAGAUUUCUUAGAAAUUUACCAUUUGAAAAUUUUUAAGAAUCUCAUCAUUGGGUAAUUUACAUUUAAUUCCAAAAUUUUUAUAUUUUUAUAUAUUUUUUUUGUUUGAAAAUAAAUAUUAAUUAUUGUUAUUGAAAUUUUAUUUAAAUCAUUCUACCAUUUGGGACAAAUUUAAACAAAAUUCCUCAUCUAAGAAUUUUAUAAAAAUUUACCAUUUGAAAUUUCUAUAAAUUCUAUCAUUAGAUAAUUAAUAUUUACUCCCAAAAAAUAUUUUAUUUUUUAUUCUUUUUUUUUCAAAUUUAAUCAUGCCAAAAUACACAAUAAAUAAAUAAAAGUGAAAAAAAAUACCCAAAACAGGAGGUGGCUUGACUCUAAUGGCUACAGCGCCGCUCAACUGCAAGAAAAAAAGCUGGAAUGACUUAAAAAAUGGCUUCGCUUGGCUCGAAUUAAGACAAAGACUAAAAAAAGUUGUUGGAAUCGGGAAUUUUCUAGAUUUUUUUUCAAAAAAAACUUUUAAAAACCCAACAAAUCUUUAAAAAAUUUUCUUGACUGCUUUUUCUGAUUUCUGCCUCUCUCCCUAAUUUUUUUGUAUGUAUUUGUGUGAUCUGUGUGGACAUGUAUUUAUAGGGUUCUGAAUCUAAGAACUUCAAUCCAGAAAAGAAUCCCAAUUUCCUUUGAAUUCCAAACUUAAACCCAACUCCAACUUUACAAAUCAAUUCAAACAAUUUCACACAAACUCAACUACCUUUUUUUUUCCUUUGUUUUAUUAGCAAAAAUAAAAGAUAGACCCCUUGACAGAUUGGGGUGUCUAUAGUUGCCCCUCUUUGUGCAUUUUCUGUUAAAUAAGAAUUGUACAAAGACAUAGACAACCCAAUCAAGUUGACAUAUAUUUUUUAAAAAAGUAAAUAAAACUCCCCUAAACAAAGGCUCAAUGACUUUUGAAAAUAAAUUAAGCUCCUUUAUACAGAGGCACCACAACUUUGAAAAAUAAAAUGCUCCUCUAAAUAGAGGCACCACAACUUUUGAAAAUAAAAUGCUCCUCUAAACAGAGGCACCACAACUUUGGAAAAUAAAUUGCUCUUGUAAAUAGAGGCACCAUAACUUUGAAUAAAUUGCUUCCUAAACAAAGGCACCACAACUUUGAAAAAUAAAUUGCUCCUCUAAACAGAGGCACCACAACUUUGAAAGAAUAAAUUGCUCCUUUAAAUAAAGACAAUAGAACUUUGGAAAAAUAAAUUGCUCCUCUAAAUAGAGGCAACACAACUUUGAAAAAAUAAAUUACUCUUCGACAAUCAUGUCCAGAAGAGUCAUAGAUCAUGUUUGAUGGAAACUCAAAGAUUCACAAUUUGAGUUUGCAAUUCAAAGGUUCAAAUUCACAAGAACCUUUCAGAUUUGCCAAAAUUCACUAAAAUUUGAUUCUUAAAAUUUCAGUUUUGUUAGAUCUCAAGAUUCGCAUUUGCAAGACUAUCAUUCGAAUUUUGGAGAUUCGCAUCAAAAAAUUUGAAACUUUUCAUUUGAGUUUAAAGACUUACAUCCAAUAAAUUUCACGAUUGCUCAUCUCAAAGAUUCCUAUUUGAAACUUGAAGAUUUUCAUUUGAAAACUCCAAAAUUCUCAUUUGAGGAUUUCUAAAAGAUUCUCAUUCAAGAACUCAAAGAUUCUCCUUUGACGAUUCCCAAUUUUACCUUUAAAACCUUCAUCCAAAGAUUCAAAAUUUCUUUCUCAGAUGACUUUCAAACUCAAAAUUUAGCAUGUAAUGAAUGUCAUAAUCAAUGAUGCAAGUGCUUUAAUGAUGCAAAUGCAAUAACAACCUAGAUCCUCAUAAUGCCAUAUUCUUAACAAUGCAGAUGUAAUGCAUGUAAUGCAGAUGUACAUGUCAUGAAAUUCUAAUUAAUUGUGGUACUCAAAUUUCUCAAGCUCUUUCCUUGAGCUCCAAACCCCUCAAUCUUCAAGUACUAGGGCCAAAUCAAUGUAAUUUUCAAUCAUCUCUCUCAUUUAAUUCUCAUAUUCUCCUUUUCAAGAAAUCUCUUUUCAGAUUCAAUGUCUUUAUCCGAAACUGAACAUUUCAAAUUUGCCUUUAUCACUCUCAACCUUUCCAAUGUAAUAUAAAAAAUCUUCCAUGCUAUUAUUCAUUUAUCAAUCAUUAUUUCAAUCUCAAAAAGUAAGAAUGCAUUCACACAUUUUCUCCGUUGUAAGGUAUUGAAGAGAAAGGAAUAAGAAUGGCUAGCAAAUAAUCAAUAGAAGAGAUGCACGAAAAAUGAAAUGGAAUGUCUUUUAUUAGCAAAAAUUAUGGCAAACUUUGGCCAGUUGGAAAAGAAAGGAUUAAAAAAAUGGGCAAAGGGACAAAGCCCGAAAAUAAACAAUCAGACAAUCAUGAUAACAUAUCUUGAAAUCUUUUUCGAAAAAUUCAAUCACCCAAUGCACUCAACAACUUAGAGCUCCUUAGAUCAUGCUAGCCUCUUUGCUAAUGAACUUUCAAAUUUGAUGCUGUAUUCUCCUUAUCUAAGCUACCUUUUUAAGUUUUCAACUUAGAUAAGUUUUACUCAAACCGUCCUUUUGGAAUUUUUGCCUUGAGUCCCCCCUUUUUUUUCUUUUUUUUUUUUUUUUUGUUUUUUCUUAAGCAUAGUACUUCUUCACAGCAUUAGUAUUUAUAAGAUGAGGUAAAUCAUUUCAAUCUAUCUUAGCCAAUAUCAAUGCCUCACUAGAGAAAGCUCGUUUUACGAGAUAUGGUCCUUCCCAAUUCGAAGUCUAUUUUUUUCUAUUAUCGUGUUGACUUGGAAGAAAUCUUUUCAAGACCAACUCCCCUUCUCGGAAGCAAUAAGGUUGAACCUUUUUAUUAUGAGCCCUCAUCAUUCUUCUUUGGUAUAGCUGACCAUGGUUGAACACUGUCAAUCUCCUUUUUUCAAUGAGAUUCAAUUGUUCACAGCACUUUCGAAUCCAUUGAGCCUCUUCUACUUCAACCUUUUUUAGAAUUCUCAAAGAUGAGAUCUCUACUUCUACUGGUAAUACAAUUUUCAUCCUACAAACCAAAGAAAAUAGGGUUGCCUUAAUAGAGGUACGCAUUGACGUUCGAUAUGCAUGCAACGUAAAUGAUAAUUUCUUAUGUCAAUAUUUAUAAGUCUCGGUCAUCUUUUCAAGAAUUCUUUUUAUAUUUUUGUUUGCCACCUCAACUUCUCCAUUCAUUUUUAGAUGGUAUGGCACCGAAUUAUGAUGCUUAAUCUUAUACUAGGCACAUACUUUUUGCAUCAUCUUGUUAUUCAGAUUCUUGGCAUUAUCUAAAAUAAUUCUCUUUGAAAGUCCAUAUCUAUAAGUGAUUUCUCUCUUUAUGAACUUACAGAGUAUAGAUCAUGUCACACUUCCAAAUGAUGCUACUUUCACCCAUUUCGUGAAGUAGUCUAUCAUCACGAAAAUAAACCUAUGCCUAUUAGAAGCUUUUAAGAUAAUAAGAUCAAUGACAUCCAUGCCCUACAUAGAAAACGGCCAAGGUGGUGCUAAAACAUGUAAAGCAGAUGGCGGAGCAUGAAUCUUAUCAGCAUAAAUCUGGCACUUAUGACAUUUUCGAGCAUAGUCAAUAUAGUCGCUCUCCAUUGUCAACCAAUAGUACCCUGUUCUUAUGAUCUGUCUUGUCAUCAUAUGUCCAUUGGCAUGUGCCCCACAUAUUAUAUUAUGCACCUCCUUAAUAAUUUUCUUAGCCUCGACCUUAUUUACACACCUUAACAAUAUUUGGUCAUAGCUUCUUUUGUAAAAAACAUCUCCAUCCAAAAAAAAACUCAUAGCUAAUCUUCGAAUGACCCUUUUAUCAUUCUUAGUUGCCUGGACAAGGUAUUACCGAUUUUUAAUGUAUUAUAAGAUAUCAUAAUACCAGGACUUCUUAUCCUCCUCCUCUUUUAUAUUAGAGUAGUGAGCUGGCAUGUCCUUGACAUCUAACUUAAUAGGCUGAAUAUCAGCAUUGUCAUUAAUUCGAACCAUUGCUGCUAAAGUGGCUAAGGCAUCAAUAAUCAAAUUCUCCUCUCGAGGUAAAUGAUCAAAUUUAAUAUCUUUAAAUUGCUUGAUCAACUAUAAGAUAUACUUACGAUAUAAAAUGAGUUAUGAAUCUCUUAUCUCCUAUUCUUCUUUCAGUUGAUAUAUAACUAGAGCUGAAUCUCCAAACACUUUUAAUGCUUUAACAUUUUUGUUUAUAGCAGCUUACAAACCCAUGACACAUGCCUCAUAUUUAGCGAUGUUAUUUGUGCAAUUGAAAUUCAACCUCGUUGUUAUAGGAUAGUAUUGUUCUUCUGGAGAAAUCAAUAUUGCCCUAAUCAUGUCCUAAGGCAUUGGUAGCUCCAUCAAAAUACAUUUUCCAAUAGUUCUCUUUGUGCCCUUCCUUUUCUAGCUGAGAAAUAGUCAUCAUAUCUUCAUUAGAGAAUUUCAAUCUCAUCGGCUCAUAAUCUUUAGCAGCACGAUCUGUAAAAAACUCAGCUAUGGCACUCUAUUUAAUUACUUUCUGGUUCACAUAUAUAAUAUCAUACUCUAAAAGCAUUACUUGCCAUCUAGCAAUUCUUCCAAACAAAAAAGCCUUCUCAAAGAUGUAUUUAAUUGGAUCCAGUUUUGUUAUGAGUCAGGUGGUAUGAUAGAGCUUGUAUUGUUUGAGUCUUUUGGUGGUCCAAGCUAAUGCACAACACAUUUUCUCCAAAAAAUAAUACUUGGACUUGUAUUCUAUGAAUUUUUUACUCAGAUAGUAAAUAGCUCUUUUUUUUUCGGUUAGACUCAUCUUGUUGCCCCAGCACACAUCCCAUUGAAUUCUCACACAUUGUUAAAUAUAAAAUUAAGGGUCUUUUGGAACAGAUGGCACUAACACCAGAGGAUUUGACAAGUAUUACUUAAUUUUAUUAAAAGUCAUUUGACAUUCUUCAUUCUAUUUUUCAGGGUUAUUCUUACGAAAAAGUUUAAAUAUGGGAUCACAUUUGUAGGUAAACUGAAAGAUAAAGUGAGAAAUGUAGUUUAAUCUUUUCAAAAAACCUCGAACUUCUUUUAGUGUGCUUGGAGGUGAUAAAUUUUGAAUGGUUUAUAUUUAUCUGGAUCUACUUCAAUCCAUUUUUCUCUGACUACAAAGCCUAUCAAGUUUUCUGACCUUGCCCCGAAGGUGCACUUGGCUAGGUUCAACUUGAGUUGGAAUUUUCUCAACCUCUCAAAUAGCUUUUCGAGGUUGGUGACAUGAUUUUCACCAUCUUGAGAUUUUGUAAUCAUAUCAUCUAUAUACACUUCAAUCUCUUUAUGCAUUAUGCCAUGAAAGAGCGUUACCAUGGGUCGUUGGUAUAUUGCUUCAGCAUUUUUUAGACCAAAAAGCAUGACUUUAUAGCAAAAUGUUCCACAUAUGGUCAUGAAAGUGGUCUUUUCCAUGUCAUCUUUAACCAUUUUUAUUUGGUUAUAUCUUGAGAUCCUAUCCAUAAAAGAGAACAUCGAAUGCUUGGUCGUAUUAUCUAUCAGUGUAUCAAUAUGAGGUAAAGGAAAGUUAUCUUUUGGGCUAGCCUUAUUUAAAUCGCGAUAAUCUAUGCACAUCCGCACCUUUCCAUCAUUUUUAGAAACUGUUAAAAUGUUGGCUAUCCAUUCUGUAUACAUGACUACUUGUAAGAAACCUGAAUCAAACUGCUUUUUCACUUUUUUUUUUUUUUUAUCUUGAGCAACAUCUCAGGUUUCAUUCCCCUUAAUUUUUGUUGGACUAGCUUACAUUCUGACUUCAAAGGCAGUUUGAGUUUUACUAUUUCUGUACUGAGCUCAGGCAUAUCCUGAUAAGACCAAGCAAACUCAUCUAUGAAUUUUCAAAAUAGAAUUUUCAAUCGUUGUUUGUCUCUUGAUGAGAGUGAUGUGCCAAUUUUAACCUCUUUUUUAUUCUUCUCAUCUCUUAAAUUUACUAAUUUAGUUAUCUUCCGAUGAGGCUCAAUUGGUUUACUUUCUUGCUCAAUCAAUCUCAUUAGAUUCGAAAGAAUAGCAUAUUCUUCAAAAUCAUCUUUAUUAUCAAGUGCAUCAAUGUUAAUUGAUUUUUCAAAAUUAACCCCUUGUUCGUUAUCAUGAUUAUUUUCCUAUUCAUUUAAGGACCUAAAAUUGAAUGAAAUGGGAUAUGUUGGUGAAAUGUAUGAAAAAAUAGAGAAACAAAAGAAAUGAGUGAAAAUGCAUCCUUCCUAAUUUUACUAAAAUAAUAAUAGAUAAAUGGCCUAAACAAGAAAGACCACCCCAAGGCCUUGGGCAUAACCUAUUGGGAUGUUUAAUUACAUUGAAUCGGUAUCAAUGAUAGCAGGCAUUUCGAUAAUGCUCUAAUUAUUCAGCUCAUAAUUUGGUGGAUAAGGACGAACCCAUGUUUCCUUGUCAUACCCACUUUCAUCUUCGAUCGCAUGGAUGGAUAACUUAGCAAAUGUUUUCUCCAUGCUUUGCUCUAAAUUUCCCUUUGUAGUUGGGUAUAGGAACCCUUCAGGCCUGAAGAUCUCAUAAAGGCAUGGGAUGAUCAUUGCUAUCUUGUUGGCUUGUCUUCUUCUAAUUUCCUAGUCUUCAGUUUCAUAACCAAGACCCAGUCUCUCCCUAUUAUCCAUUGUCAUCGGAGGCUACUUUAUCUCUUGUAAAUUUUUAACCAGUCUUACUCUAGGAUACUAGCCUUUAUUGAUAACCUGACACAUCACUAUCUUUAAAUAUUAUUGGCUUUUGGGUCCCUCACCCACAGAGUUGACUAACUCAAAAGAUCGGUAAGAACAUUCCAUCACUUCUUCAGCAGCUUUUGCAUAUGAAGCAUUUAAUGGCUGGGUUACCAACAUGUUUUCUUUUCUAAACACUACCACCAACCGACCUUUCACAUUGAACUUAAUCUUUUGGUGCAGGGUAGAAGGAACAGCCCCUACCAUGUGAAUCUAUGGCCUUUCCAACAAGCAAUUAUAAGAUGGAAAGAUAUCCAUUACUUGUAAUCUUAAAUUGAAAGUGUAUGGCCCAAUUUGCAAGGGUAUCUCUAUGCCUCCUAAAACUUUUUACCUGGUCCCAUCAAAUGCUUGGACAACCAUUUGGCUAUCCUUUAUAUGUGAAUAAUUAAUAGGUAGCCUUGCCAAAGUUGAAUAGGCAUAACAUUAAUAGCAUAACCAUUGUCAAUGAGGACCUUGGCUAUAAUAUGGCUCUUGCACUUGACAGUGAUAUGCACUGCCUUGGUGCUUCUUCUUCUUUUUGGAGGAAUCUCAUCAUCACUAAAGGAUAUGUAAUUUGGCAUAACCAAGUUUCCAGCUAAGUGGUUCACAUAUUCAACAGACACAUCAUGUGCCACACAUGCCUGGUUUAGCACUUUUAGCAUGGCAUUUUGGUGUGGUUCUGAAUUCAAUAGUAGUGAUAAUAAUGAGAUUCGUACUGGCAUCUUAUUUAACUGUUCCACCAUAGAAUAUUCACUAUGUUUUAUCAACUUCAAGAAUUCACAAGCCUCUUUUUUGAUACUGACUUUGGGUAAUCUUCUUCAGGUAUCGUUUCUAGGUUAUUCCGUUCUUCAGGUAUCGAAUAUAGAUUUUUCGCAUGUAGUUCAUUGCUCUUGUGAACCACUUAUUGGGCUAGUAGGAUAAGUUUGAGGUCUUGAGGGAGGUCGAACAUUGGAAUUAUAUGUGGUAGCCAGAGGCCUGAAAGAGGGUUGAUAAGUCAGAGGGUAGGAUGGCUGUGGAUUUAGUAGGUAUAGGUAUGGAGAAGCAUUAUUCACGGUGGAAUAAUUUAAGGAGUAACCCUGUGGUGUGUAAGGUCGAUGACCCUUGAAUUAUUGUCUAUCAAAGCUUACAGCUUGAGCUUCAGUCUCCUUCUUUCUUGGAGCUUUUUUAGUGGAUGCCUCCUCUCUUUCUAAUUUGCUAUUCUUGAUGGCACUUUCAAUAAUUUAGCCAGAGAUCACCAUGUCGAUAAAAUUUUUUGUUGUACUCCCUAUCAUCUUUUCAUAAUAAAGAGAUUUCAGAGUGUUGACAAACAACACUGUAGUUUCCUUUUCAGUUAGAGGAGGUUACACUUGAGAGGCUACAUCCCUUCACCUCUGGGCAUAUUCUUUAAAGGACCCAUUUGCCUUUUUCUCCAUAUUCUGCAAAGACAAGCGAUUAGGAGCCAAAUCCAUCAUAUAUUGGUAUUAAUUGAUAAAAUCAUGAGCCAUAUCACUCUAAGAAUGGAUGCAAGUUCUAUCUAACUGGAUAUACCACCUAGCAACAGAGCCAGUAAGGCUAUCUUGGAACACAUGCAUCAAUAGCUUUUCAUUAUUAGCAUGGGCUGCCAUCUUUCGACAAUACAUGGUAAAGUGGGUCUUUGGGCACUUUGUACCAUCGUACUUAUUAAAUUUUGGUACUUUGAACUUGGGAGGAAUAACCAUAUCCAGGACUAAGCAAAGCCCAGCAGCAUCGACAGAACCAUAAAAACCAAUUCUUUCCACAGCUCAUAGCCUUUGUUUUAGCAUACUAAUCUUCUGGUCAGCUCCCUUAAUGACUCAUCCCCUUUUGAUUUUAACUUUUCGUUCUCCUUUGGAUUGUCUAAAUCAGGGACUUGAAUUGGUUCUAUUGCCUUUUUUGUAAAGAUAGAAUUUACAUAACUCUAAUAUUGGCCAGGGUUUGAAGCUGAUGGCAUUCCAGGGUAUGUGUGACCUACAAGAUAAUUGAACUGUUAUGGUAAUGGACCUUGUGUGGAUUGGGCUUGAGGCAGCCCAAAACUAGGAAGGUAUAGUGGGUCAUCCACCUCUUGUGAUGGAUGAUCUUAUUAGCUAGUACUUUUUUUUAUACCUUUUUCCUUGUUUAACUUAUUUAAAGCCUCUAAAAUCUUAUUCAACUCCCCUUCUAGCUUUUCUUGAGCUUUCUCUACUUCUCAAGAUGAUUAAAAUUUUCUUAUUCCAUUUGUCUGGUUCGAGCCCUUGUAUUGUAUUGAUGAGUUGGGUUCUUGCUUGGUGGAGCUAUCCUUAAACCUUUCAUACCAUAAUUGUGAUAAAAAAAUGUUAUGCUUUAUACAUUAUAUGUUGGUGCAUGAAUGAAAUAUCCCUUUUAUGGAUGUAGAUAUGAGAUGUGGCAAAUAUUCCUUAUAUGAAAAUGACCCAAAUGAUAAUGUUAAAUCAUGAGCAGGAAAAUAAUGCAUAGAAUGAAAUGAUAAUGAUGCAUGGAAUGAAAUGAUAUGAUAAUAUAAAAAUGAUGCAUAGAAUGAAAUGAAAAUAAUGCAGUGCACAAAAUCAAACAAAAUGGUUAGAUCACAAAAUGUUCCUUCUUAUGUCCUAUCUUCAGGUUAUAUCUAUCACUGGGUAGGAAAGGCUCUAUCUUAGGGCUGGCCUCUUAAGUGUACACUAUAUGUUGGGUUAGGUGACUUUGACCAUUAAAGGUUCCCAAAUUGUUUCUUACAUCAUAAUUCAUCAUAGACUAGUAAGGCAUUCCAAUCCUCACCCAUCACAAACUACCAUCGAAAAUGAUUCAAUUUUAGUAGGAGUAUUUCGCUAGCCAUUACGGAGAUUAUCAUCUCACGAAAGCAUAGAUACUUUACUCUUUCCUAAGAGGGAUAGAGCCCAAGUAUAGAGCUCAUGUAAUGCAAAUGCAUGUGAUGGAGUGUGCGAAGGAACACAUAGGUUUCAUGCCCCAAAAAUCAAAUAAAAGACAAAAAAGAAAUAUGUUAGUAAACACAAAUCAUUAAAACCAUUAGAUCAAAAGGUAGGACAAAUUAAAAAGUUAUGGCUUGACUCUCUAGCUUCCCCAGCAGAGUCAUCAUACUAUCAUAACAUAUAGAUUCAUAAAUCUAUAGCUAGACUUAACAAACUAAGGAAUCGCCAUCAAUCUUUUUUCUAGGUGUGAUUGACCACCUAAGAAAUUUAUCUUUUUAAGGAGCUUCUAAGCUCUACUAAGGUCCUAAAACAAUAGAUUCAGGUCUACUAACUAAAGUAGGGUUCAGGAGUUCGGUUACGUAUAAGGAAAGUUAUGGCACCCCCACAUGCCCAUCCGAAUGAUGAUACUAUAUUAUUUUAAAUUUAUCCUAGGGUUUUAGUCAAAUGGUUUCAAAUUUUUAUGUUGAAAUAUUGGAAAUAAUUUAUAAAAUUUUUUCAUUAAUCUGGUAGAAUUCUUAAAAAUAUUUUCUCACCUCAAGAGUAUUCAAGGAUCUCAUUUGUUUCCUUGAAGAGGCUCUGUCGUAGGAAAAAUGUUUAUUAUUUUUUUUGUUGAAAAUAUAUCUAAUUAUUUCACCAUUUGGGUCAAAUUAAAAAUAUUUUCUUGUUUUGAAUUUCUAAAUUCUCCACCAUUUGGGCCUAUUUAAAAAUUAUUUUUAUUAUUUUUUAUUAUUUUUUUUAGAAAGAAAAUAAUAUGAUAAAUAUUUUUAUUGAAAUUUCAUCUAAAUUAUUCCACCAUUUGAGACAAAUUUAGAGAAAAUUUCUCACCUAGAGAUUUUUUAAGAAUUUAUCAUUCAAAAUUUUAAAAAAUCUCAUCCUUGGGUAAUUAUCACAUAUUUUCAAUCAAAAUUUUAUUUGAAAAAGAAUACAAUUACUUGUGUUGAAAUUUCAUCUAAAUUAUUCCACCAUUUAAGACAAAUUUAAAGAAAAUUUCUCACCUAGAGAUUUCUUAGAAAUUUACCAUUUGAAAUUUCUAAGAAUCUCAUCCUUAGGUAAUUUAUAUUUAAUUCCAAAAUUUUUAUAUUUUUAUAUUUUUUUGUUUGAAAAUAAAUAUUAAUUAUUGUUAUUGAAACUUUAUCUAAAUCAUUCCACAAUUUGGGACAAAUUUAGAUAAAAUUUUUCACCGAAGAAUUUUAUAAAAAUUUACCAUUUGAAAUUUCUAUAAAUUCUAUAAUUAGAUAAUUAAUAUUUACUCCCAAAAAAUAUUUUAUUUUUUUAUUCUUUUUUUUUCUAAAUUUAAUCAUGCAAAAAUACAAAAUAAAAUAAAGUGAAAAAAAAUAACCCAAACCAGGAGGCGACUCGACUAUAAUGGCUACAGCGCGGUUCAACUGCAAGAAGAAAAGCUGGAAUGGCUUAAAAAGUGACUUCGCUUGGCUCAGUUUGAGACAAAGACUGAAAAAAAUUGUUGGAAUCUGAGAAUUUUCUAGAUUUAAAAAAAAAAAUUUUUUAAAACCCCAACAAAUCUUCAAAAAAUUUUCUUGACUGCUUUCUCUAAUUUCUGCCUCUCCUUAAUUUUUUUUUGUGUUUGUGUGAUCUGUAUGGGCAUGUAUUUAUAGGGUUCUGAAUCUAAGAACUCCAAUCCAGAAAGGAAUCCCAAUUUCCUUUGAAUUCCAAACUUAAACCCAACUCCAACUUUACAAAUCAAUUCCAAUAAUUUCACACAAACUCAACUACCUUUUUUUUUCUUUUUUUUUAUUUUUUUAUUAGCAAAAAUACCCCUUGACAGAUUGGGGUGUCUACAAACCUACAUCUACGGAUGAGAAGCAAGAUCUACUAACUGUAGAUAAUUAUAAAUAUACAUCACAUCAAACAAUCUCACUCAACAAUCAAUACUUCUAGACUCUCUCAAUCUUUUCUAGUCCAACGAAGCAUUCUAAACCCAAAUAAACACAAACCUAUGUGCACCCUUUCAACACAAACAAACAUAUACCCAUAUGUACCCGUUCAUCAUACCUAUGUUAACCCUCUCAGUCUCCUCUAGUACACUCUCAAACAUUCAAACAUACUCGCCCAUAAGAUAUAAAUCUCUAAUACUCCUGUGAGGUAUCUAUCCCACAAAAUCUUAUAACUCUCUUACAUCUUUUUUUCAUACCUAACCCUAUAGAGACUUCACAUAUUUAUAGCCAUACAAACUUGUCUAUUAAGAAUCCAUUUCCUUUUAGAAUUUCUCUUCUGCAAGUUUUCUUGUCCAUCAAGUAAUAUUUAACAAAUCUCAAACAAAUCUCUUAUAGGAUUUGAGUCACUAUUCCUAACAAAGAACACUCUUGAUUUUGGAAUGCUAUACAAAAAGAAUGGAAACUUUUUAUUAAGUGGCUUUGCGGAUUCUAAUUGGGCAAGUAAUGUCGAAGAUAGAAGAUCAAAAACUGGCUACUGUUUUAAUAUGGGAUCAGCUGCAAUUUCAUGGUGUAGCAAGAAGCAAGCAAACGUUGCUUUGUCUAGUACCGAAGCAGAAUUGUGCUGCAACAAUGGCCGCAGCACAAGAAGGAGCUUGGUUGAAAGAGUUAAUAACUAACAUCUACAAGAAAGUGGAGUAUCCCAUUACUUUGAGUUGUGACAAUCAAAGCGCAAUCAAGUUAGGAUCAAAUCUAGUAUUUCAUGCUCAAACAAAGCACAUAGAGGUUCAACACCAUUUCAUUCGAGAGACAGUUCUUGAAGAAGAGUUCAAGUUAAAAAAAAAAAAAAUUAGAACAAGUGAUCAAGUUGCUGAUGUCUUCACCAAAGCACUCACAAAGCCGAAGUUGGAGCUCUUUCGUGGAGCUCUUGGUUUACUAAAUCGAAAGCAUGCACUAAGGGGGAGUAUUAAAGUUUAGUGCAUACUGUGUCGUUUUUAAUUACGCUUAAAUUGAUGCUUUUGUUUUCUGUUAGAGUAGAAUUUUAGAUUUGGUAAAGUCAAGGUUGUUAAAGAUUUUUUUGGAAGGACAUCAUGGCCCACUUAAGAGUAGAUUUCUUAAGAGUGGCUAACACUUCUCAAAUUCUACAUACUAAAAGACUUUUUCAUGAGUCGAUUUUUUCAAAGCUAUCCACUUCAUGAGGACGUCAAGGAUUUUGAUUCGGUGCUUAGUAUAACAAAUUGGGUUUUGGACAAAAGAAAAAAUGUAUAAUAGAACCGUAGAGGGGACGAAAAGUUUUUUAAUCCAUUAUUAUUGUCUUGAAAUUGUAUCUCAAAUUUUAUAUCAGCCUCGUCUGGCUUGAAAGUUUAUUUGAUUAGCUAUUGACAUAGUUUCUAAUUUUUAAUUGUGAAUGAUAAAAUCAAGUAAUUAACCUAUGGACUCCACUAUGUAAGAUCAUUACUCAAUUAUAAAAAAUCUUAAAGUUGUUUUCAAUUUCCAUCCCUCCAAUGAAUUUCUUUGAUCUGUCCUAUUCAUUUGGUGAUUUUGGGAUAACAUUUUCUAGGAAACUUUCGUAGAAAGAGUAACAAUCCAACAAUAAAAUAUAAUAAUAAAUGACAAUAGUGAAUAAAUUUUUCUUAAUUUAUGAUCAAAAUAAAAAAAAUAACAACUUGGUUUUUUUUUAUAUUAUUCUCACAUUACUUCUUAUCAGGCUGAUCCUAUAUUAGUUGAAAUUGAAUCUCAAACUUGAAAUCCGUCUCAUAUGGCAUAAAACUUUAUUGUAAUUGUGAACAAUAGAAUCGAAUAAUUAUCCUAUAGAUUUCACUAUGUAAGAUCAUUACUCAAUUAAAAAGAUUUGAAAGCUGUUUUUAAUUUCCGUCUCUCAAAUGAAUUUCUUUGAUCUGUUUAAAUCAUAUGAUGAUUUUGUGAUAAAAUUUUCUUGAGGGAGCUUCGUAGAAAGAGUAACAAUCCAAAAAUAAAAUAUAAUAAAUGAGAAUAGUGUAACAAUUAGGUUGCUUUUACUUUUUGUUGUGUGUGUGUGUGUUUUUUUUUCCCAAGAGAAUGAAAAUGAGACAACAAAUAACAAAUUUUGAAUAGAAAACAAAUAACAAAAAGCAAAAUCGUUUGAGAAACGAAGCUUAAUUUUUUCACAAUGAUUUUACCAUAUAAUACAGACACCAUAGAGCACAGAUUUACAGUUCAAAAGUCCAAAGUUGCUAAGAAUUCAUCUCAACAGACAAGUUUGUUCCUAAAUAAUAGUACAAACUUGAGUCCAUAAGGUGUAUAAAAAACUUUUUCAUCAUUUAAUUUUUAAAUAGAUAUAUCACAAUCAUAUAAAUCCAUUUGAUAAGUUUAAAAAAACUUUAAUAUAGUCUAUAUAUGGAAAAGUAAUUCUGAAAAUUUAAUAAAAAUUUGAUUGGUCAAAUACAACGUUAGGAUUGAUAAAAAUUUGUAAACAAGAGUUUUUGUUUUCAUAAAAUUUUAUUAUUAAAUGAAUUUAUUUGACAAAUAAAUAGUUAAUGUUAAUAUGAAAUUUCUUUAUCUUUAUAGUUCCAAAUAUACAUUAACGUUAAUUUAAUAUAUUUUGUACAUGAAACAAACUUCACAUAUUAAAAGGCAUUUGAUGAAUUUUAACUAUUUAUACAAUAGGCAAUUAUAUGUUCAACAUAUAAUAAUUAUUUAAAAAGAAAUUAAUAUAAAUAUUCAAAUUUAAUGAAUGUAAUAAAAAUAUUAAUGAUGAAAAAAACACAAAAAUAAAAGAAAAACGUGUCUUUGGAGCUAAAUUCUAAUAUAAAUUAUUCUUGCUAUCAUAUUUACAGUAGAGAUGCAUGGAAUCUAUAUUUUUAUAUAUAUUGUGAAUGCAUUUGGAUCACUUUAUUAUAUAUAUAUAUAUAUAUAUAAUUAUUUAAGUUAAUUUGAAUAGUAAGGAUUAGUAAUGACCCUUAUAUUGUAAUUAUGUACUAAGUUUCCAAAAAAAGUUUUCUCCAGUGCAUUUUUUUGUUUGACUUUCCAUGGCUGCCAAAGGUUUCUCUGAAGCAUCUUCAUCUCGCUUUAAAUGGAACCAUGAUGUCUUUUUAAGUUUUAAAGGCGAAGACACUCGGAAGAACUUCACAGAUCAUCUCUACACAGCUUUGGUGAGAGAUGGAGUGAUUACCUUCAGAGAUGACGAUGAACUUCCCAGGGGAAAAGACAUCUCCUCGGAGCUCCUCAAAGCAAUCGAAGAAUCAAAACUUUCUAUCGUGGUUUUCUCUAAA
rnacentral:lncRNA from 1 species